rnacentral:rRNA from 1 species
GAUGAACGCUAGCGGGAGGCCUAACACAUGCAAGCCGAGCGGUAGAGUUCCUUCGGGAACUUGAGAGCGGCGUACGGGUGAGGAACACGUGUGCAACCUGCCUUUAUCUGGGAGAUAGCCCUCCGAAAGGGGGAUUAAUAUUCCAUAAUAUAUCAGUUGGCAUCAAUUGAUAUUGAAAGCUCCGGCGGAUAGAGAUGGGCACGCGCAAGAUUAGAUAGUUGGUGAGGUAACGGCUCACCAAGUCUGCGAUCUUUAGGGGGCCUGAGAGGGUGAUCCCCCACACUGGUACUGAGACACGGACCAGACUCCUACGGGAGGCAGCAGUGAGGAAUAUUGGACAAUGGGUGCAAGCCUGAUCCAGCCAUCCCGCGUGAAGGAUUAAGGUCCUAUGGAUUGUAAACUUCUUUUAUACAGGGAUAAACCUACUUACGUGUAAGUAGCUGAAGGUACUGUAUGAAUAAGCUCCGGCUAACUCCGUGCCAGCCGCCGCGGUAAGAC